UCGUGAGAUGUUGGGUUAAGUCCCGCAACGAGCGCAACCCUCGCCUUAGUUGCCAGCAUUUGGUUGGGCACUCUAGGGGGACUGCCGGUGAUAAGCCGAGAGGAAGGUGGGGAUGACGUCAAGUCCUCAUGGCCCUUACGGGCUGGGCUACACACGUGCUACAAUGGCGGUGACAAUGGGCAGCGAAGGGGCGACCUGGAGCUAAUCCCAAAAAGCCGUCUCAGUUCGGAUUGCACUCUGCAACUCGGGUGCAUGAAGGUGGAAUCGCUAGUAAUCGUGGAUCAGCAUGCCACGGUGAAUACGUUCCCGGGCCUUGUACACACGCCCGUCACACCAUGGGAGUUGGUUCUACCCGACGGCGCUGCGCUAACCCGCGAGGGAGGCAGGCGACCACGGUAGGAUCAGCGACUGGGGUGAAGUCGUAACAAGGUAGCCGUAGGGGAACCUGCGGCUGGAUCACCUCCUUUCU
rnacentral:rRNA from 2 species